AGAAAAUCAACCAGGAAAUAGUGGCUUUAAAUGAUACAUUAGACCAGUUGAACCUAACAGAUAUAUACAGAACAUUCAUCUGAAAGUGAAA